UUUCUGCACAACAACACAGCUGAAGAACGGCUUGGUGGAGGCAGACUCCAUUUCAUAAGGGCGUAUCCCAAGUUAGAGUUCAGAGGGAAGGGAAUAGAACGCGACUUGUCCACCAAACAAAAUAUGUGUGUUACUACAGUUGUGUGUAGUGGUCAGACAAAAAGAAAAUCAGAACUCCCAAAGCUGGAGUGUCAGGUGGUUGUGAACUACUCAACCUGGGUACUGGGAACCAAACUCAGGUCCUCCACCAAAGGAGCACAUACAGUUAACCACUGAGUCAUCUCUGAAGUCCCAGGUGACAAGACCAAGGCUGAGAGAUUAGGAAAGGGCUAGGAACCUGAGUCACUGGCUGAGCAAACUACAGGUCAAUGAUGGACCUUCUCAAAAGGAAUAGAUAAAUGAUUGAGAAAAAAAAGCAUCAUCAACUUUUGCCCUCCACAACUGCCUACAGAGUAUAGAGAUUAAGUUCUUCACAACUCCUUACCUGCCUGGUUGAGCAGCGCAGCCAUUCCUUCCAUUUAUCUUCUGCAAUCAAGAGAAACUCGU
rnacentral:lncRNA from 1 species